GGUGGCUGCAGGUGGAGAGCGGAGGCUGGUGUUUAGUAAGCCGAUGGUGGUGGCUGCAGGUGGAGAGCGGAGGCUUGUGUUUAGCAAGCCGUUGGUGGUGGCUGCAAGUGGAGAGCGGAGGCUGGUGUUUACCAAGCCGAUGGUGGUGGCUGUGGGUGGAAACAGGAGGGUGGUGCUUUGCAAGCCGAUGGUGGUGGCUGCAGGUGGAGGUGGCAGGUGGAUGUUCUGCAGGUAGAUGGUGCACACUGCAGAGGGACAGUUUAUACAGAAAAGAAAAACUAUUUUGAAAUUUUAAAUUAAAUUUUGAAUGAACUAUUUACAUGUAAAAUGAAAAAACAAAACAUGAAAGAACAAAAGUGAACUAUAUACAAAAGUUAAACAUUUCAUUGAAAUGUAAAACUUAGUGAAGUGGUGAUCUCAGGCGGGGUCCCAGAACUUCUGGUCAACCCUCUGGAAACACACUUCAAGACGGCCACUUAGACACCUACAAGAGACAGAAGACACAUGAAUGACAUCAUGAUAAUAAAUAAAUUACUCAGAAGCUUUUUUUAAAUUAGGUCAACUUUUAGUUUUCUAUUAAAAGCAGAAAGUGUGUCAGCCUUAAACUAAAAGUCCUGCCACCCCUUCUAGUUUCAGAAAUUCUCGGUACCACAAGUUUCCCUAUGUUUUGGGAAUGAUGGGAAAUAAGAAACAAUCACAUAUUUGAGACAAAUUUUACAGAGAGCCAGUGUAGAGAGGCUAACUCAGGAGAAAUGGGCUCUUUCUUGUCAGUAAUCUGGCAGCAACAUUUUGGAUCAGCUGAAGAAUUUUAAGGGCGUAGUUUGGGGAUCCACUUAAGACGGUGUUACAGUAGUCCAACACAGAUGGGAUAAAAUGUGUGGAGCAGAUGUUCAGCAUCACUUCAGGACAGGAUGCUCCUUAUGUUGGUGAUAUGAUGGAAAUGAAGCUACUCUAGAGACGUGUUUGAUGUGAGCACUGAAAGACAAAUCCUGGUCAAGAAUGACUCCAAGCUUCCUGCCAUUAACAGGAACUAACUAAACAACCAUAUAUAAGGAUUUUAGGGCCAAAAAAGUUCCCUAAAAUUCUGAAUAGGUGGAGUCUGUCUGGGCUAAAGGUGGUGCACAAGUCGAGGACCCAACAGGAUCCACCAGGGUGUGGGGCUUACGUCAUUAGCUUCAGGCGUUGCGUGGCUUUUUGACACAUGCCAGCCCGUUGCAGUCAUCACGCUUCCUCUUCCUGCAGCCACAAAACAGAACAAAAUCAAUCAGAGCAGAGCUGACCUGUUUCCAUGGCAACUCACAAAAAGGCAUAAACUUAAUUCAAUGACACAGAUCAGGAGUGAGGAGAAGAUCUGGAGUGAAAGCAUCCAGAGAAAACUUACUGUGAGGGGUUCAGGGUGGCUGCAGCAGGACGGGCUGGCAUCCUGCAGGAACACACACACACAUUUUACAGCAGGAAGACAGUGUGGACAUACAAACAGAAGCUCAGCUGCUGAUGCUAAACAUUGAUCAGGAUUUGUCUUUUACUUACUGGGAUCCAAAAGGGACCAAGAACUGGCCAUUAAGGAGCCGAAAACACGGCAGCUUCACUGAAUAAAAAUGGAACAUUUCAAAUUUUGAAGCUCAUGAGGUUGUGCUGCUUCUAGAAAAUAAUCCUCCUCUGGAUUUACAUUUAAUCUUGAGACAGAGGAGGUCUCAGUAUGUUCUGAUGUGGAGGGAGAUGAUGAGGCUCAUGGAGGGUGUGUUGUCUGUUGGGCUGGAGGCAGGUGGUGGACUGAAUGAAGAACAUGUUCAGCUCAUCAGCUCUGUCCAGACUUCCAUCAGUCUGAUCCUCUUUUAACGUGAAGCCAGUGAUCUUUUUUAUUCCUGACCAUGCAUCCCUCCUGUUGUUCUGCUGGAGGUGGUAUCUACAUUUUUACUGUAGUCCUCUUUGCACUUCUUAACCUUUAAGUUGUUUUUGUGUUUGUGACCUAGAUAACUUCAACUUUGGGUUGUAAUUACAGAACAUCUGUUUAAGUGUUGACAUACCUGAAAGGAUCGCUAAAAAUCACUGCAUUUCACUUUAAGUUGUAAACUUCUCCUUCCUGGUUACUUAUUCUUGGAGUAAUCUAUAAAUUCCUUAGGCCCCUGUUGGUUUAAAUUUAAAUUUUGUUUGAUAAUUACGGAUACAUUUUCUGAAUGGGUUGAACUAUUUCCAUGUGCACACCCAGAUGCUAGAAAUAGUAGCUAAAGCACUAGUAAGAGAAAUAAUUCCAAGAUUUGGAGAAACCACAAAGAAUUUACAGUGAUAAUGGAACACAUUUUGUAAAUCAGGUUAUUCUAUAUAUAGGACAAGCAUUAGACAUUCAAUGUAAGAUGGACAUUACUUCAUGACUUCUGUCCACAGCGACCAUUUAUCUCCUGACUGAUGGAAAACUACCACUGAACCUGAAUUAAAUCCACACAAGUGUGUUAAUAUAUCAUUUUUAUUGGGAAUUUGAUAGAAAAUCAACAUCUUACCUAGAAUUGAAAUCCCUUCUGGGAAUCUCAUGCAUUCAAAAAUCCUAGACAGAGCAAAAUAAUUCCAAUGAAACCAUGUUCCUAAACUUCUUUUAAACUCUAAGAAAGAAGAUUUAAACAUUUUUUGUAUAAACAAAACUUUUCAUGAAGCUGUGCUGCAAACAUGUUCAUGUCUACAACCCAUUUACAUCCAUUUCAUAAAGUAUGGUUUUGUGAACGGAGGUAACAAGGCAGAGCUGAGAGGUGUGUGUGGUGUGUUAGCUAAUGCUUUGCAUUCCUGAAGCCUUCAACACUAAAGCUGCAUCUAGCAAAGAAACAUCCAACACUAACAAACAACAAAGAAAUAAAGAAAAUUGGCUACAGAUGCUGAAAACAUCUGUCAAGUUUGGCAAUUCUGAAAAAAAGUUUAUUAAAUUAAUUGUUUAAUUAAAUGUUUUCUCUUUAAAUAUAAACAAAAACCAGACAUUUAUCUACAGUUUAUUUCAUUUGAAUGAUCCUGAAAGGUGUAACUUGCUUACUGAAGAGAGCCUAUGACAGCCUCUCAAGGACUUUCAUGGUAUGAGAUGUUAGAGCAGCUGGUCUGUAGUCUGUUGAUUCAGAUGGUUGGGAUUUUCUAAGUACUGGAACAAGGCGGUAUGUUUUCCACAGCACAGGAACUCUUUUUUUGACUCAGGCUGGUGUUGAAAAACUGCUGAAGAACCCAACAUGUUCUGUCAUAAUAUAACAAUGUGUGAGUAUAAAUGUGCAGGAUGGUACUGCAGGAAUGCAGGUUGUGGUGUUGAUAGUCAUCUUUAAAACUUUAUGGAUGCUUAAAGAACACAAACUAAUAAUGAAUAUUUUAUUAAUCCCAAUUUAGAAGUUUUGUCUUUGCAUUUAUCCCAAAUUAAUAGCAGCCACAUCCCUUUGUUGCCAGCCAGGUGACUUGACACCAGUGUUGUGCGUGAACAAGUUAAAAUGACCACAUUCAUUGAAAACAUUCAUUUUUAUGUGAAUUAUGAACUGAACACAACACAUUUGUAAAUAAAGACCUUGAACGUGAACUUGUUCAGGUUCAGUGAAGUCCUGUAACAGUCACUGUGUCCAUUUGCACCUGAGCUAUACCCACUUCACACUAAGUUACCCACCAUGCAUUGCACACUUUAGCACAACUAACCAGCAAUGCUCCUCAGCAACUCCUCAGUCACAUGCCUUGUGUGCUUAUGAUUACUUACGGGACUAUUACGUACUGUCUGCAGAGGAUUCCAGCAGUUAAAAUCUAACAUUUCUAUGCAAGUUAUGUCUGCCUGCACUUAAAAAGCAGGCAGACAAAAGUUAGAACGUCAGCCUCAUCGGCUUCUAAUUUGAGGAGACAUGUAGAGUUGAAGCAUCUAUCCAGUUUGAGAGGAUAUCUGCAAGUCCUCGUCAUAAAAAAAAAGCCAUUAGGGAAGGGCAAGACCCCCUGCCAACAGCCCCAAACAACCCAUCACACUGGUGCAGGGGUGUAGCACAAAAAUCUGGGCCCUUUGUACAAACAUUUCUGUGGGCCCCCAGGUGGACUUGAUCAAUAGUUCUCAUGCACACUUUUCCUGUGGUAUAAGACUAAUGUCAUAGUUUAACCUCUAAAUGGUAAAUGGCUUCUCUAUCCAUUUCCUGGUUCAUCUGGCAGACACUCUUCUGCAUUGCUCAACCUUUCACUGUCUUCCUGUUCCUCCUCUUUCCUCUCCUCACCCUCCUCACUACCUUCAGUGCAGAUAGAUACAAGAUUAUCUUAACAUGCUUACAGCAUAAAAUACAAUAGAAUAAAACUUAAUGUGUUCCUGAGAUUAUUUUGUUUGAACAAGCUACAGAUGAUUGAUUAUAAACUGACUAACAUAACUGCCUCCAUGAGCUCAGUGAUCAUCUGGACAUGAUGAUGGACCUGCUGCUGUGUCUGAGAAUGAGGACCAUGUGGUUCAUGAUGUUAAUCUUUGCUCAUACUGAUAAUUGCAAUGUUACAGUGGUACUGAUAGGUUCAAUAUAUGUGAUUGUUAAGCAUUAAACCUUUUGUUAGGCUACACCAACAAACACACGAGUCAUGUUUUGUAUUGUUCCUCCUGUCUGACUAUGAACUUCUACUUUGUACCCUAAAACAUGCAGGCUGGGCAGAUUUCUGAUUCAUGUCACUCCGUUACUGAAUAAAGUAAUUCAGUAAUAAUUACAAGACAGCCCUUUUUCCAGGUUAGAUAUUUUUAUAAGGAAUUGACUCAAAAGCACCAACAGCAGGAGUUUUAAUAAUAAUCAGACUCUGACUUAUUCAUCAGUCAUUGUUUCAUUUUAUUAAUUUAUGGUAGAUCAUUUGUUAUCAACAUUACAGACUUCAGGGUCUGGUGCAUUCACUUCUUCAGAUAACACAAUGUCAAUAGCAUCCUCACAAAUGACAAAUAAUCCAUUGAUAUCAAAUAUGUAAUGACUGGUCACUGGGAAAGGACUAAAUAUGGACAGUAAGUGGAUAUGUUUUUAUCACAAGGUCUGUAACAUCAAACUAUUUAAUAACUUUGAUGAAUUUCUGAUAGUAAUACAUGUGUGUUGUCCCCAAAUGAAUCCUAACAUGUUCCCAAAGACACCUGCUGCUGAUAUCAGCUCAGACUGUUAGUUCAGGUGCUGCUCACCUCUUCUCUAACUAAUGAAUAAGAAGCAGCUGCCCCUCACUUCAUUUUCUUACCCUGUGUUUUUUUCUCUCCCUUUUAUGAUUUCCAGACUUUACUUUCUUUGGCUGUCUGGCUGCUCGCUGUCGGCUAGUUCGGUCACGUGUCUGACAAAGCCAGAUCAAACACUGCUUGUCUGGCUAUACAAUGUGCUUGAAUACAGGUGAAAGUGAAGGGACAUCCUGGGAAGCAUCAGGCAUUCACGGCACCAGUGUAACGCAGAUGACAGAGUCCAGGGGCACGCAGCCUGAAGCAAGUGAUGUGGCCACAUCUAGCAUUCCAGGCACCAGUGAAACACAGAGCACUGAGACCACGGAAGCUCAGCCUGAAACAACUAAGCUCCUUGAAUACUAUCUAUUAAAGCACAAUUAAAAAGCUCAGUGACUUGUUUUCUCAUCAAGCCAAGUUGACACUCUUCAUUAAUUGUUCUCAAACACUGCUGGUCUAUUAUGCUCUAUCGGCUGGUCUCUAUUAGAUGCAGUAUAGUAAUGUUUAGUGUAAGCAGUCUACAAUAGCUUAAUCACACUGAAGUUAUAAUGUCCAUUUUUGGGCCAUGGGAACAUGAUAGACGUUUGUGUUUUAUAUGUGAAAAAUGUAUCUAAAAUUUAAGCACUACUUGAGAAAACUAACUGCAAUUCCAGCAGAACUAUCAAUGUCACGAAAUAGAAUGAAAUAAGAUUUCUUUUCCUCCCUUAAACACUUAAUUGUGUUUUUAUGUCCAUAUUAUUGCUAAAGAUUCAGAGGAUUUGUGAGCCACAAUCAUUAUGGCAAAUACUGAAGAACAGAGGGAGGCCCAGCCCAGAGUGUGUCUCCCUCUAGAGAAGUGUGAGGCAGGCAGGGAACAGCCCUCUACCAGCCAGAAUGAGGAAGAUGAGCAACUAAUUUACCCGGACCUGGCACCAGUGGCUUUCAACUGUUUACAUCAGACCUGAAAAUUCUGUAGCUCAGUUUCUAUGCGGCUCUCUGGAACUUUGACUUUUGGAUUGUUUUAAAUUGUUGUUUUGUUUAAACACUUAAAAGUUCUUCAGAUCAAGGCAGACCCUUUUAUGAUACUACAGUAAAGAAAAGCCAAGUUCUUUCGCCAAACCUAACCAUGGCGAAUGGCAUCGAACGCCAUGAAACAGGAAGUACUUGUAACUGACCCAAUGUACUUCUGAUCUCCACCAAACUCAGCAGAGAGGACAGUGGUCAGGCCUGGAACUGAUUCAAAUUGAUGUAUGCUGGAAAUAUGUCUCUGAAUAAAUAUUUAAUCUAUCAGCCCCAACUACUGCUUUGACUAACAUUAAUGACAUUUGGCAUAUUUAUAUAACAUGCGAGGACAUACACAAAAGCCUCUUCAUGUCCAGAUGUGGUCAACGCCAUGGCCCCGCCCCGGCCAGAUUAGCAUCACAGGCAUUUCUGAAAAAAGUGAACGGAAUAACUGAUCAAACUAAGUUCUUGCAGGUGUUUGCAGUAUCAUUUUGUGUUACAAUUUCUAUAUUUUAUCAUGAUCAUUGAAAGGAGCCACUAACCUUGUUAAGAUGGGGGAGAAGUGGUCCAACAGGAAGUUCAGCUCCUCUGUAUCAUAGUCCAUCAGAAGAUCUCGUUGCUCUGGCCAAGAAUCAUGAUCAAAUAUCCUGAAUGACCUUACUGCCUUUGCAGUUGCUGAUGAGGAGGACCCUUAAUCUAUCAAGGGGUAGGAGAGAAUGAUUUAAGGAGGAGAAAGAUGAAGUGUCCUAAAGAUAUAUACAUAUGUAUAUAUAUAUAUAUAUAUAUAUAUAUAUAUAUAUAUAGUUAUGUCUUUUCACUUGCCGAGUAGACUACCGAACCUCUGCUUCAAGUGCAGCACAGCGCAGUCAACAGUUGCUUUUACUGCUUGUUGCAAACGUGGCGUUCCUGCCAUUGAGUGUCCAUCUGUUCCUAGUCCAACAGCUUCUCAGCUUCCAACUUUAAGACAAAUGCUUAUUUAAAAAAACAUAAAAAAUAAAAAAAAAUAAAAAAAAUUCUCACCUGAUAUUUGAACAAAAGGUGAGCCUCACCAUCACUCUCUUGUUGUCUUCUCU